rnacentral:rRNA from 1 species
AGGAUGAACGCUGGCGGUCUGCUUAACACAUGCAAGUCGAACGGAGUACCUCGGUACUUAGUGGCGGACGGGUGAGUAACGCGUGAGAAUCUGCCCUUAGGUCGGGGACAACCAUUGGAAACGAUGGCUAAUACCGGAUAAGCCGAGAGGUAAAAGAUUAAUUGCCUAGGGAAGAGCUCGCGUCUGAUUAGCUAGUUGGUGAGGUAAAGGCUCACCAAGGCAUCGAUCAGUAGCUGGUCUGAGAGGAUGAUCAGCCACACUGGGACUGAGACACGGCCCAGACUCCUACGGGAGGCAGCAGUGGGGAAUAUUGCGCAAUGGGCGAAAGCCUGACGCAGCGACGCCGCGUGAGGGACGAAGGCCUUCGGGUUGUAAACCUCUUUCAGCAGGGACGAAGCGAAAGUGACGGUACCUGCAGAAGAAGCACCGGCCAACUACGUGCCAGCAGCCGC